GUUGCUGCACACGUUCACGUAGCAGCGUCCCACCCCGUCCAGGCUGGUGCGCAGCACGUGGCCGGGCUCCGGGUGCACGAACCGCACCUCCACGCCGCGCUCCCGCUCCAGAGCCGUGAUUUCCUCCUCGUAGCGUCGCCGGUUUUCCGGGUCCGUGAGCUCCUCGGCGUACUCCGAGAACAUUCUGCGGAACUCCGGGUCCUGAAAGGCCGAGGUCCCCAGUUCCUGGGAAGCACUCUCCGUAUUUGUGAAAGGACACAGUCAUGACUUCUGUGGUAUGAAAGGCCUCUUCUACACCAUAACCAUGAUGAAUAUCAGUGUCAACAUACAGCGCACUCUGAUGGUAUCUCUAAGCACCAGAGACAUGGAAACUGGCUGAAGGAAGGUGGAAGAGUUGCCGAGUGUCUCCAGAGGCCUGACCAAGCCAAUCAAGUCCGAUCUUCCUACUCUAUAGCCAGGGUCAAUUCCAGCCACACAGAAACACUGGAGGCAGGAUCUGAGCAGCACCUGCCCUUGAUCUUGCCAUGGGCUCAGAUCAAACCAAGACCCGGUCAAGAAGAGACUGGCUAGAGACACUCUUGGAACACAUCCUAGCCAGCACACCAUAAGAAAAGUAAACUAAGGAGGCAAGCCCAUGGGGAAAGGAACGCAGGAAACCUGGCCUAAGGUGCUCCUCCAAGAGACAAGGCCAAGCAGGCAUAUUUUAGCAGUUCCAGGAUGGCCAAGACGAUAUCAUUGAUGUAACCGAAGCCAGAUGCCUCAGACUUCUUUGCAUGAUGUAGGUCCCUAGCCCAAUUCACUGCAAUGUCCGUCUGCUGCUUAUUAAGUUUCACAGCACUUGCCACAGAUCCUCCAGUAGACAACUGACAGAACUCAAACAGGCCAUCAAAUACUGGACAGUCCUCACAUUGAAUCUGCAUUUGCUUGCUGAACUCAGACAUGUUAUCUGGAUGAAUGGAGUGCAAGAAUUUAAUGUCAUCACUGUGGUACUUGGUCAUCUCCUCAGCAUUGGCCUUGUGAGGGCGAUAGAUUUCCAUUUUUCGGUACAGACCAUAGUUGAGCAGGAAAUUAUGAGUCAUGUGGAUUUGGUGAGGCUUCACUGGUUGCCUUGUCCAUAAUAGUAAUUUCCAACAUCACCGUCAGUAGUAGUAACAGACUUCCCUUUUGGUGCCCUGAAACUGCGCCAUCUUGCCCACCCUCCCUCCUUUGCUCUC